GCCGCUAUGGUGGAAUUGGCAGACACAAAGGACUUAAAAUCCUUCGGAAGUGAUUCCGUACCGGUUCAAGUCCGGUUAGCGGCACCA
rnacentral:tRNA from 1 species